rnacentral:tRNA from 5 species
GCCGGGAUAGCUUAGCUGGUAAAGCAACGGUUUUGUAAACCGUAGACCGUCGGUUCGAGUCCGACUCCCGGCU